AGUUCGUGGAGUGAUCUGUCUGCUUAAUUGCGUUUCACUAAGGGCUUAUUAAUUACGUGUGUAGCACUCUCUUUGACCCCUCUUCAUUGAGCGCGUGUCUUAGAUGAUUAUGCUCGCACAAUUAAGUCCUGAAAGCAACGAACGUGACCGCAACCUCUUGUUGCCUUUUGCACAAUCCUUCGCUUCAUUAUCUUUUGAUUUUAGGCGUAGAAAAAGAGGCUAUUAAACUAGAGGGACCGCUGUAAUCUUUUUAAACCAGAGGAAGGUUGCGGCAAUAACAGG
rnacentral:rRNA from 1 species